rnacentral:rRNA from 1 species
UACGUAGGGCGCGAGCGUUGUCCGGAAUUAUUGGGCGUAAAGAGCUCGUAGGCGGUCUGUCACGUCGGCUGUGAAAUCCCGAGGCUCAACCUCGGGUCUGCAGUCGAUACGGGCAAACUAGAGUAUUGCAGGGGAGACUGGAAUUCCUGGUGUAGCGGUGAAAUGCGCAGAUAUCAGGAGGAACACCGGUGGCGAAGGCGGGUCUCUGGGCAAUAACUGACGCUGAGGAGCGAAAGCGUGGGGAGCGAACAGG